AAUUGUGUUCCCCCCCGGACUAGCAUAUCAAUAAGCGGAGGAAAAGAAACCAACAGGGAUUGCCCUAGUAACGGCGAGUGAAGCGGCAACAGCUCAAAUUUGAAAUCUGGCGUCUUCGGCGUCCGAGUUGUAAUUUGCAGAGGGCGCUUUGGCAUUGGCAGCGGUCCAAGUUCCUUGGAACAGGACGUCACAGAGGGUGAGAAUCCCGUACGUGGUCGCUAGCCUCUACCGUGUAAAGCCCCUUCGACGAGUCGAGUUGUUUGGGAAUGCAGCUCUAAAUGGGAGGUAAAUUUCUUCUAAAGCUAAAUACUGGCCAGAGACCGAUAGCGCACAAGUAGAGUGAUCGAAAGAUGAAAAGCACUUUGGAAAGAGAGUUAAAAAGCACGUGAAAUUGUUGAAAGGGAAGCGCUUGCAGCCAGACUUGCCUGUAGUUGCUCAUCCGGGUUUCUACCCGGUGCACUCUUCUAUAGGCAGGCCAGCAUCAGUUUGGGCGGUUGGAUAAAGGUCUCUGUCAUGUACCUCCUCUCGGGGAGAACUUAUAGGGGAGACGACAUGCAACCAGCCCGGACUGAGGUCCGCGCAUCUGCUAGGAUGCUGGCGUAAUGGCUGUAAGCGGCCCGUCUUGAAACACGGACCAAGGAGUCUAACAUCUAUGCGAGUGUUUGGGUGUCAAGCCCGAACGCGUAAUGAAAGUGAACGGAGGUGGGAACCUUUCGGGGUGCACCAUCGACCGAUCCUGAUGUCUUCGGAUGGAUUUGAGUAAGAGCAUAGCUGUUGGGACCCGAAAGAUGGUGAACUAUGCUUGAAUAGGGUGAAGCCAGAGGAAACUCUGGUGGAGGCUCGCAGCGGUUCUGACGUGCAAAUCGAUCGUCAAAUUUGGGCAUAGGGGCGAAAGACUAAUCGAACUAUCUAGUAGCUGGUUCCUGCCGAGUCCUCCCCCCUC
rnacentral:rRNA from 1 species